rnacentral:rRNA from 1 species
GACGAACCGUGCGAACGUUGUUCGGAAUCACUGGGCUUAAAGGGCGCGUAGGCGGGCAUGCAAGUCAGGGGUGAAAGCCCACGGCUCAACCGUGGAAGUGCCUUUGAUACUGCGAGUCUUGAGGGAGGUAGGGGCGUGCGGAACUUCCGGUGGAGCGGUGAAAUGCGUAGAUAUCGGAAGGAACACCGGUGGCGAAAGCGGCGCGCUGGACCUCUUCUGACGCUGAGGCGCGAAAGCCAGGGGAGCAAACGGG